rnacentral:ncRNA from 22 species
GAUCAAGAAGUUCAGCCUCUAAGCCCUUCGGCAGGCUGACUGGCAACCGCGCAACGCACACGGUGCCCCCGAAGGAAGAUCCGCUCUGUACUCAAAAGACUGCAGAGAAGAGCGAUUA